AGUGAACGCUGGCGGUAGGCCUAACACAUGCAAGUCGAACGGCAGCACAGUAAGAGCUUGCUCUUACGGGUGGCGAGUGGCGGACGGGUGAGGCAUACAUCGGAAUCUACUUUUUCGUGGGGGAUAACGUAGGGAAACUUACGCUACUACCGCAUACGACCUACGGGUGAAAGCAGUGGAUCUUCGGACCUUGCGCGAUUGAAUGAGCCGAUGUCGGAUUAGCUAGUUGGCGGGGUAAAGGCCCACCAAGGCGACGAUCCGUAGCUGGUCUGAGAGGAUGAUCAGCCACACUGGAACUGAGACACGGUCCAGACUCCUACGGGAGGCAGCAGUGGGGAAUAUUGGACAAUGGGCGCAAGCCUGACCCAGCCACACCGCGUGGGUGAAGAAGGCCUUCGGGUCGUAAAGCCCUUUUGUUGGGAAAGAAAAGCAGCAGGUUAAUAUACCGCUGUUUUGACGGUACCCAAAGAAUAAGCAACGGCUAACUUCGUG
rnacentral:rRNA from 1 species